UGGGGAAUCUUGCGCAAUGGCCGAAAGGCUGACGCAGCGACGCCGCGUGUGGGAGGACGCCCUUCGGGGUGUAAACCACUGUUGCCCGGGACGAACAUCUGGUUUCGACCAGACUGACGGUACCGGGUGAGGAAGCACCGGCUAACUCCGUGCCAGCAGCCGCGGUAAUACGGAGGGUGCGAGCGUUGUCCGGAAUCACUGGGCGUAAAGGGCGCGUAGGCGGCGCGGAUAGUCGGCGGUGAAAGCCCGGAGCUCAACUCCGGGUCGGCCGUCGAUACUUCCGGGCUUGAGCACUGUAGAGGCAGAUGGAAUUCCGGGUGUAGCGGUGGAAUGCGUAGAGAUCCGGAAGAACACCGGUGGCGAAGGCGGUCUGCUGGGCAGUUGCUGACGCUGAUGCGCGACAGCGUGGGGAGCAAACA
rnacentral:rRNA from 1 species